rnacentral:other from 1 species
AUAACCCUGCUGUGUGCGUGUAAACUGGCUAAGUAAAGAGCCAACACUCUGAUAUAGGGAGUCCGGUCUCUGAAUGCGGCAUAUAUGCCCUCCUUCGGGAGGGAAAUAUAAAGCAUUUAGGAGGACACCCACCUGGGUAGCCGGGUCUCUAUUACAGUCAGCGAACACGGCAUGGUGGGGGUUUU